rnacentral:rRNA from 1 species
GUCGAGUGGCGAACGGGUGAGUAACACGUGGGUGAUCUGCCCUGCACUUCGGGAUAAGCCUGGGAAACUGGGUCUAAUACCGGAUAGGACGAUGGUUUGGAUGCCAUUGUGGAAAGUUUUUCGGUGUGGGAUGAGCUCGCGGCCUAUCAGCUUGUUGGUGGGGUAAUGGCCUACCAAGGCGUCGACGGGUAGCCGGCCUGAGAGGGUGUACGGCCACAUUGGGACUGAGAUACGGCCCAG